AUUGAACGCUGGCGGCAUGCUUUACACAUGCAAGUCGAACGGUAACAGGCCGCAAGGUGCUGACGAGUGGCGAACGGGUGAGUAAUGCAUCGGAACGUGCCCAGUCGUGGGGGAUAACGCAGCGAGAGCUGCGCUAAUCCCGCAUACGAUAUAUGGAUGAAAGCGGGGGACCGUAAGGCCUCGCAGGACUGGAGCGGCUGAUGUCAGAUUAGGUAGUUGGUGGGGGAAAGGCUCACCACGCCAACGAUCUGUCGCUGGUCUGAGAGGACGACCAGCCACACUGGGACUGCGACACGGCCCAGACUCCUACGGGAGGCAGCAGUAGGGAAUUUUGGACAAUGGGCUCAAGCCUGCUCCAGCAAUGCCGCGUGCAGGAAGAAGGCCUUCGGGUUGUAAACUGCUUUUGUACGAAACGAAACGGCUCUCUCUAAUACAGGGGGUUAACGACGGUACCGUAAGAAUAAGCACCGGCUAACUACGUGCCAGCAGCCGCAGUAAUAC
rnacentral:rRNA from 1 species